AGUGAACGCUGGCGGUAGGCCUAACACAUGCAAGUCGAACGGCAGCACAGUAAGAGCUUGCUCUUACGGGUGGCGAGUGGCGGACGGGUGAGGAAUACAUCGGAAUCUACUUUUUCGUGGGGGCUAACGUAGGGAAACUUACGCUAAUACCGCAUACGACCUACGGGUGAAAGCAGGGGAUCUUCGGACCUUGCGCGAUUGAAUGAGCCGAUGUCGGAUUAGCUAGUUGGCGGGGUAAAGGCCCACCAAGGCGACGAUCCGUAGCUGGUCUGAGAGGAUGAUCAGACACACUGGAACUGAGACACGGUCCAGACUCCUACGGGAGGCAGCAGUGGGGAAUAUUGGACAAUGGGCGCAAGCCUGAUCCAGCCAUACCGCGUGGGUGAAGAAGGCCUUCGGGUUGUAAAGCCCUGUUGUUGGGAAAGAAAAGCAGCAGGUUAAUACCCCGCUGUUCUGACGGUACCCAAAGAAUAAGCACCGGCUAACUUCGUG
rnacentral:rRNA from 1 species